CGGGGCGUGGCGCAGUUUGGUGUAGCGCGCUUGCUUGGGGUGCAAGAGGUCCGCGGUUCGAAUCCGCGCGCCCCGACCA
rnacentral:tRNA from 1 species